rnacentral:lncRNA from 1 species
UCAUUCAAAUUUCAACCAAAUUCAAAUCUAUUUGAACUUCAAAUAAAAAAUAACCAUUACCUAAAUUGUGACUCAGUGUCAGAAAUUUUUAAUAUUAUUUAUACAGAUACUCUUAUACACUUGUACAAUUGAAAGGGUGAAACUCAGUCUCCCAACGUCGGGAGAAUAGACUCGUGAGCCAGCAACUACCUCACUCCGGAGUAAUUGGCCUAAACAUAAGGACUUGAACGAUAUAUGUUUCAAGUAUGUGAUCUCUUUUAUAUUUUUUGAGAAAUCAGAGGACCUCGUAAGAAAAAUCCGGGUCCAAAUCAAGCCAUCAUUUUUGGUCGCACUAACUUUCUCCUUAUUUACAAAAUCACAUUCCGUUUCCAGAGCUGUCAAUGGGUCGGUCCAAAAAAAUUAACAAUUUUAAAAUUCGAAAGUACACAAUGAUUUGGACAGUGUCGAUUUUAUUAUAUUUUUAAGCUCACUUUUUCUUUCCCUUUUUUUUUAUUUGCAAAGCCUUAAAGCCUGUGGAGGAUUAGUUGCUAAGGGUUAGUUUUUACUGGCUCAUAUAUAUAUAUAUAUAUAUAUUUUAAUUAAUGUAUUAUAGAUAUAAUAUAUUAGUUUUUUUAUUUUAUUAUUUAGUCCAAGUCCAACUAAUCUCUUUUUCACUGAUUUGAUUCCAAUUUCAUAUUAUCUUAUUUUUAACAUAAUAAGUUUUACUAUUUCAAUUAAAUGAUUUACAUAAUUAUAAGUUUAAAUUGACUGCCACUGGCACUGUAUAUUCAAUAAUUAUUUACUCACAUGGCUUUUGUUUGCUCUUUGUAUUUCUAUGCCAAAAAAGAAAAGAAAAAAAAAAGUUGAAAACAUUGAUGGGUCUUUAAUAGCUCUUUAUUAUUGUACACACAAGUCAGAAAAUGAAAUUUGAGUUUAUUAAAAGCAAGUCUCAGUCACAUUUGGACAUUAUUACAUUCGCAUUGAUUCAAUAAUACUCGUAAAGUUGAAAUCAAAGCAUGUAAUAUGCAACCUUUAGGGCAUUACAUUGAAUGUUGACUUACAUCAUGACCCGUAAUUAUCAAAUUAAGCAUGCUCUAUGUGUAGGACCAAUGUCUUAUCUGAUCUUAUUGUUAAAAACUUUCCCAAAAUGUGCUUUGAACAAUACAAUUUACAUGUUUAGAAAACCACAGGGUUCAUACAAUGAGUCAUGGAAAUUGCACAACAGAAUGAAAAUCGUCCGAAUAAAUGGUAAAAAAAAAAAAAAAAUAGAGAAUCCAUUCUAUCUUAAGUAUGUAAUAAAAAAUGGAGUAUUCAACAAUAGAUUUACUACAAAUUAAUGUAGCACAUGAUCAUGAGUGCAACAACUUGUGUUCUCUUUUACAGGCAUUGUUUUCUUCGAAAGAAUGAUGGUACGUUGUGCUGUGGGACUCAGCACAACAUUACAACUAAUGCACCAUUCACAAUCCCACUUCAUUUUUUUUUCCCUCAGUUUCUAUAAAUUAAAAUAUAUUUUAUUAUUUUUGUAUACCCAUGAAAUAUUAUAAUAAUUAAAGUUAUACGUUAUUAAUGAAAACAAAAUUGUUUAUGAGAUGUAAGUGUAAUCAAUUCAUUAAACUCUCGGCACAGAGAAAUUCAUAACCAAAAUGAGAUACCUUUUGUUUCGAGUAAUCUCUUUAUUUGAAGAGUAUAAUUUUAUUCACAUUUUAAUGAAAUUACAUGAAAAAUGAUAAAAUUCAAUCUGAAGUGGUGGCGAAGUGGUGAGCUCAACAUAAUUUAGCGCACUAAACGAAGAUAUUUUUGUUGGAGAAAAUUGAUAAAUUUGAUUUUUGUAAGCAAAGGAGAAAUCUGUUAUUAGGGAACUAGAAACUCUCAUAAUCUCCAAAUUUGGGUGGAAGGGGGCCUCUUAAAAAGGUCAUUGCCUUUUUCUGAAUUCGGAAGAGAGGAUUGGGCCAUUAUUCACAUACAGAUUCGGAUCAUCACACGUGUCGCGUUUUAUAUGGCCUUUUUCUUCAUUGUGUUUGUGUUUCGGGGAAAAAUCUUCAUGCCUUUUCCUGUCGAUGGGAGUUCAGAACUUAACCCACCUUCGCUAUAUGCGCUGAUGCUCAACUCAAAACACAUAAAAAAAUAUAUAUAUAUAAUAAUAAUAACGAAAAAAAACAAAUAUAUAUAUAUAUAUAUAUAUAGAGAGAGAGAGAGAGAGAGAGAGAGAGAGAGAGAGAGAUUAAAUAUAGAUCAGUAAGACAGCAAGUCAGCAACUGUCGAGUAAUAUUCAAUUUUUGCAUCCAACUUUGCGGGUUGUGUUCAAAAUGAGUUUGUUUGGAAGAUCUGACACGAGUGGACCGAGCUCAUUGGGCUCAAUGAUAGAAAAGCCCAUAUCAACCUUUUACUUUGAGGCUUUACCGAACCAACACCAAACGGAUAUUAUACAUUAUUAUUAUUUUUUAAAUCACGGCCAAUAGUAUAUAUAUAGAAUACUUAAAAAUAAAAAGAAAAAUCGAAAUUUAUAAUUCUCUCGGCUUUUAUUUACAUAUAAAAAUUUCCGAGUUAUACAGCAUUGUCGGUUUGAUCUCUUUUUGGAACUAUAAUAAUUCUUCCUUGGCAAACCAAUAAAUAAAAACGAGUAAAACUUAUUAUAAAACUGCUUACUCAUGGCCCCAUGAUUCAUCAUCUAGUGAGAUUCUUCUAAGCAGUUGGAUCUAAAAUCUUAGCUAAAGAGCAAAUAUUAUAAUACAUAACAUGGCUUAAAAAUUAGAAGAGACAAGCAGAAAAGGUUUGUCCAUUUUUUAACAAAUGUCUAUCUGACAUCACUGAGGGAGAGUCGGUAGCUUACCCUGUCAUGGCUCUUUAAUUAUACAUAUAUUAAUUAACUCUUCUCAGUUCCAUGCAUAUAUUACUACUAUUGCUCCGGAGAGGCUGUUGAAUAAGACUCA